GUAAAAAAUGAAUCCUGGUGCCAAGGAAAUUACACAAAAAAAAUCAAGUAUGACUUAAUUUCUUGAAGCAGUCGCCUUAAAAAAAUAACUAUUAUCUUUUCCCCCAAAUAAAUCAACUACAUUUGCGAGAAAAAUAUUCAGAGAAAAUGUUCCCUAAAAGAAUUGUGGGAAGUUGCACAAUUUCUCGCUGAUAAAUGUGCAGCCUUUUCCUCAAAUAUUUUGAACAUCUGAAAAACGUCCUUCAGUUGAGAUUUUGAAAAGAAUGCCUCAAAGACAGACGCCAUUGAAGUUCAGCAUGGAAUAGUAAAAGGGUUGGCAAAAUGCUCAUCAAAGUCCAGUACCGUGGACUAAAAAAAGUACCUCAAACUGCAUCCUGGUUUUUCUUAUGAAAGUUUCAUUGAAGAAGAAUUUGUGCCGGCAGGUUCUUCUACUCUAAUUUCUUCAAGUGAUAUGGAGAGGUCCUCUUCAAACAAGGG